AAAUGCCAUGAGAGAGAAUGCUAAGGAGAAGCCAAAGCACAGAGGAUAAGAUUUAGGUUCGGAAACUUGGAUAACAAACUCAAAGAGGGAGAAUCUUUCGGUGUUAUGGUCAUGGUGAAGGUGAAGGACACAAUAAAGGGAAGGCUUCAUUGGCUGAGACUCGACUCACAAUAUGUGAGGGACAUGAUGGAACCGAGACCUCCAAUGGUGAUGUACUUAUCUUUCCUGAUAUGAUAAGAUACAGAAGGUUGACUCAUUUUGAUGUGGAAACGUUUGUGGUAGAGGUGCUUGUGAAGGAUGGUGAAUGGCUGCCUGGAAAUCCUAAAUUGCUAAAAGGCUCAUAUGUCUUUGUAUGUUCCCAUGGAUCCCGAGACCGGCGAUGUGGGGUUUGUGGGCCGUCGCUGGUUAGUAGAUUCAGAGAAGAACUUGAGUUUCAUGGUCUUCAAGGUAAAGUGUCAGUUAGCCCAUGUUCUCACAUUGGUGGUCACAAAUACGCUGGCAAUGUUAUCAUCUAUAGAUCAAACAUCAAC